rnacentral:tRNA from 2 species
GUUCUGGUGGCGUAGCCCGGUAGCGCGCCCCGCUCACAGUACUUGCUUAGAACCGGGGAGGUCGCGAGUUCAAGUCUCGCCUGGAACA